AAUAGAGCAAGUCUUGCAUUUCUAACUCUCGCUAAAAACACUAGGAUAACAGCUGCUCACGAAAACUACUUUCACGUCGGACAUGAAGCUUCUGUGUGUUUUGUUACUACUUACCAUUCUGGCCACCACCAUGGCUGGGGCUCACUACCCAUAUGGAGUAUACGGCAGUUAUGGACACGGGGACUACUUGGGCCAUGAAGACUACCACGGUUAUGGUUAUCAUAAUUACCACGGGUAUGGUUAUCCUGGUUUUGGUUACGGCUAUGCCUACGGCCAUAGACGUUAUGGAUAUGGUUAUCCCCAUUAUGGAGGCUAUGGUUAUGGUUUUGGGUUCCACUAAGAUACUCCAAAUGUCAAAAUUUGGAAGAUAUUGUAUAGGUCUUUUCUACAAUUAUGAAGAUACCCACAAGGAGCCGACAUAGAUCGGGUGUGUGUGUGUGAUCGAAGCUAAAUAAAUCUACAACAUCCUACUAUACUAAUGACUUCUGGCUUUGCCAGGGUAUUUUGUGUUGU